AACAAACACAAACAGGAAACACGUUCUCAUCUUUCUUCACCGUCAAACACAAACAUUUCCUUCUCGGCUCUGCCUUCUUCUCCGAUGACUGUGCCUUCGCUCACGACUGCCAGUUCAGCCUCUCCUCCGAUUGACGCGCCUCCGCCUCACCAUCGCCAUCGCCGUCGCCACCCCUUGUCUCAACACCAGAACCCUAGUCGCUGCCGAAUCAGUCGAUCGUUGCCGUCCGUCGCCGAAAAUCCCUCAGGUCCGUGCUGCCAUCAAUUUCUCGAUCCGAGGAGCUUCGGCGUCCUUCUUAUUCGGCAUCUUCCGGGUGGAGAACUUGGAGGGCGCUUUGCCCGCCAAGCACUCUCCGAACUCAGCGGGUAUGGUUUAAUCCUUUUUUUUUUGGGUUCUUUCGCGAGGGGAAACGGAUGGCAAAAGAGGAUCCUUUUGAUUUCGUUCGGGAUUGCGAUGGGCGUCAGUGAUGGAAUUUGGGAAUUUUGGAGUCUGGAGUGGUGAAAAAUCUUUCUGGGUCAGCUUGGCCGCUGUCCUCUGCUCGUUCCUCAGUUGUAGACACGAGCGGACAAAGCUGAUUGGGCUUACCUUCUGUUUGACGAGAUGGUUGGUCAAGAAAUAACUCCAAGGUAUCAGACAUGUCGUUUGAUGUUGGAUGAAGUGAGACAGAAGAACAUGUAUGAUGCUGCUGAGAGGAUUGAGGAUUUCAUGAAGCAAUUAUGAGCACAAGGUAAAAUCUGUAUAAGCUGACAUCUAGUUUGAUAUGGCCUGGAUGUUACAAUGAACAAGUAGCUGCAGCCCUCAAUAUUUGUGAUCCCGCUUGUUUGAAUAAUUGCCAUUACUCUGAAGCUUCAAAAUGGACAAUGUUGUGAAUCAUGAAUUAGAGUCCAGCACAUUAUCAAAAGCAAGGGUCCAACUUGGUGAGAUGACAAGUGCUUUUUAGUGCGUUAGAUGGUUGGACGGACUUUGGUUUGGACUAAAGCAAUCUGAAAUCAACGAAUGCACUCAAGGAAGGUUUCUGAAAUAUGCACUGCAAAUUCAGAAUAUGGGAAGUGUGAAUAUCCUUGUUACACAUCUUCAAGGUGUUGGAAUGGUUCGUGUGUGAAAGCUUGAGUCCUCCAUGAAUACUAAGUAUAUGAUAGUUUCUAUCGCAAGAGUCCAACUAUAUCUAUAUAAAACCUUGGUCGAUAUGUUAAUUAGACAGAGCUCUCCUUUUGUGUUCAUAGAGUGGUUGUUUCUGUCACUGAUGUGAAUCUAACUUAAAGAGCAUCUUUGGAGCUUCAUUUGUGUCCUUUCUUCCUUAUAAGAUUGUAGAAAGAGGCCAACAAGGUCAUCUUUGUGAAUUUCAAAUUUGUUGCAGCCUAGAAGCAAAGAGAGUUUGAGUUAAAUGACUGACAAUUGCCUUAA